rnacentral:rRNA from 1 species
AGUGAACGCUGGCGGUAGGCCUAACACAUGCAAGUCGAACGGCAGCACAGUAAGAGCUUGCUCUUACGGGUGGCGAGUGGCGGACGGGUGAGGAAUACAUCGGAAUCUACUUUUUCGUGGGGGAUAACGUAGGGAAACUUACGCUAAUACCGCAUACGAUCUACGGGUGAAAGCAGGGGAUCUUCGGACCUUGCGCGAUUGAAUGAGCCGAUGUCGGAUUAGCUAGUUGGCGGGGUAAAGGCCCACCAAGGCGACGAUGCGUAGCUGGUCUGAGAGGAUGAUCAGCCACACUGGAACUGAGACACGGUCCAGACUACUACGGGAGGCAGCAGUGGGGAAUAUUGGACAAUGGGCGCAAGCCUGAUCCAGCCAUACCGCGUGGGUGAAGAAGGCCUUCGGGUUGUAAAGCCCUUUUGUUGGGAAAGAAAAGCAGCAGGUUAAUACCCCGCUGUUCUGACGGUACCCAAAGAAUAAGCACCGGCUAACUUCGUG